rnacentral:rRNA from 1 species
AAUAGAUACCCCGGUAGUCCACGCCGUAAACGAUGUCGACUUGGAGGUUGUGCCCUUGAGGCGUGGCUUCCGGAGCUAACGCGUUAAGUCGACCGCCUGGGGAGUACGGCCGCAAGGUUAAAACUCAAAUGAAUUGACGGGGGCCCGCACAAGCGGUGGAGCAUGUGGUUUAAUUCGAUGCAACGCGAAGAACCUUACCUACUCUUGACAUCCAGAGAACUUAGCAGAGAUGCUUUGGUGCCUUCGGGAACUCUGAGACAGGUGCUGCAUGGCUGUCGUCAGCUCGUGUUGUGAAAUGUUGGGUUAAGUCCCGCAACGAGCGCAACCCUUAUCCUUUGUUGCCAGCGGUUAGGCCGGGAACUCAAAGGAGACUGCCAGUGAUAAACUGGAGGAAGGUGGGGAUGACGUCAAGUCAUCAUGGCCCUUACGAGUAGGGCUACACACGUGCUACAAUGGCAUAUACAAAGAGAAGCGACCUCGCGAGAGCAAGCGGACCUCAUAAAGUAUGUCGUAAGUCCGGA